rnacentral:rRNA from 1 species
UACGAAGGGGGCUAGCGUUGCUCGGAAUCACUGGGCGUAAAGCGCACGUAGGCGGGUCGUUAAGUCGGGGGGGAAAUCCUGGAGCUCAACUCCAGAACUGCCUUCGAUACUGGCGACCUUGAGUCCGGGAGAGGUGAGUGGAACUCCGAGUGUAGAGGUGAAAUUCGUAGAUAUUCGGAAGAACACCAGUGGCGAAGGCGGCUCACUGGCCCGGUACUGACGCUGAGGUGCGAAAGCGUGGGGAGCAAACAGG